GCCAUCUGGGGAUCACUCCCAGAGGAGAUUUGAUCAAUCGGGGAGUUCCGGGGUGGGGUGACCCAUCCAGAAGUGGGACAUGUGACCCCUCUAACAACUCCUCCCACCUCCCUUUACCAACCAGGAGGGGUUUCAGCUGCUGGGGACUACCCCAAGAGGAGAUUUGACCAAUCGGGGAGGAAUUCAGGGGCGGGGUGACCUGUCCAGAAGUGUUUUGUGUGACCUUUCUAAGAACUCCUCCCAUCGCU